GGUAAAAUGGCUGAUAAAAGCGUUAGACUGUAAAUCUAAAAAUAGAGGUAUAGCCCUCUUUUUACCA
rnacentral:tRNA from 1 species